GCGCUCGUAGCUCAGUUGGAUAGAGCGUUGGAUUCCUAAUCCAAAGGUCGCAGGUUCGAAUCCUGCCGGGCGUA
rnacentral:tRNA from 1 species